UGGUGGAGUGAUUUGUCUGCUUAAUUGCGAUAACGAACGAGACCUUAACCUGCUAAAUAGCCCGGCUCGCUUUGGCGGUCGCCGGCUUCUUAGAGGGACUAUCGGCUCAAGCCGAUGGAAGUUUGAGGCAAUAACA
rnacentral:rRNA from 1 species